rnacentral:rRNA from 1 species
UACGAAGGGGGCGAGCGUUUGUUCGGAAUUACUGGGCGUAAAGGGCGCGCAGGCGGCUCUGAAAGUCAGAUGUGAAAGCCCCGGGCUUAACCUGGGAACUGCAUUUGAUACUCUGGAGCUUGAGUACGGGAGAGGAUAGUGGAAUUCCCAGUGUAGAGGUGAAAUUCGUAGAUAUUGGGAAGAACACCGGUGGCGAAAGGCGGCUAUCUGGACCGUAACUGACGCUGAGGCGCGGAAAGCGUGGGGAGCAAACAGG